CGCGAGCCCGGCCUAGGUGAGGCGAGCAGGGGGUAAUGGAAGGGGGCCUCGGCGCCGACGGCGCAGCGGAACGUCGGCUCGUCGGUGUUGUGGGUCGUCGCGGCCACGGGGGUGGAGGGUAGAACCGGCGUAGUUCGUGGCAGCUACGUCAGUGCGCGCGGGGGGUCGGUGGAGGUUAAAGACGCACUCGUGACGGCGGUUUGGUGGUCAUCGGCGUGGUAGAAGGAGCGGCACGGCGGAGAAGAUCGUAACCUAGGCCACUCUAGGCACAGUAGGUCUCGAAGUCAGUGGCCUAGACCGGGCGGGGUGGAGCGUCGCGGCGGGGUGGUACCGGCCCCAACGACGUGGUGGGGUACUACCUGCCGGAGGUGCAGGGGCGCUACCUGUGCCGGCAUCGAGGUAGGGCACGACGGGGCUGGCGCCGGGGUCGAGGUGGGGCAUACCGAAGGUGCCGGGGCGGGGCUGACGCCGGGGUCGAAGCGGGGCCUAUCGGAGGUGUCGGGGCGGGACGAACGUCGAACUUCAGCCACUCCUCGAACCAGACGUCGAGCCAACGAACAGAUAAACGUCAUGUGCGACGACCGUUACGUUAGGCUACUAAUAAACUGGCAAGGGCUCAUAAGCAACAAGCUAAACCCGACCUGCCUCUUGGUGGCGUAGAGGGAGGGGAUCUCGGAAAAAGGAAACGAGGGGUGACUGUCUGUCUGUUGGUGCGUUCCUCUCCUUUUCUUGUAGCUGCUCUCGGGUUUCUGCGAUACUACCUUAAGUCAGGUGGAGCAGCCUCUUCCUACCGUCUCACUACGGAACGUUAUAUCACCUCGUGAGGAACGGUACGCUCACACGUCACACCUUCCGUUACAGCACGCCAAGAGGCACACUUAGGGAAGGUCCCAACAACGAUAAGUUUUUGUAAAAGAACACAAAAAACCUUUUAAAUUACUCAGAAAUAGUUACGUCACGCCAAAUCUUCGAAGGCAGGUCAUAUAAAAAGUUUACCUAUAAAACGUACAUAAGCUCUGUACCUCUUUUCUCGUUUACGCCAGGCUAACGUAAAAAGAGUAAAAACAAAACAAAGAUCCCCUCUUACACUCUUCUACGUGACGCCAAGUCAGGGGAGAUCCUUCAUGUAGCUGUCGUUUCCAAGUACCCCACCCGCUCAGGGAACGCGGCUUGAGGGACACAGAGCACUCGCAUCGAAGUUUUUUCACGUUUCUUAUAAAAAAGGCUGCUACAUCAAACAACACAUACAACCUCUCCAAGCGAGGAGGCGCGCCCAGUAAAAAGACUACAUGAUCAAGCGAAGAAAGUGUUCACUUGAGAAAUUGAAAAAAAACAAAAAUAAAAACAAACCAGAUCACGUCAAGGUAUACAAUCAACCUCUCCAAGUAAAAGUACUUUUUUCCCAACUACAUCGGCCAACUACGUCGGGUAAUGUGGGUACAAAAAGUAAACAACCUUUUUAUUAAACAACACGUGAGUUAUUGC
rnacentral:rRNA from 1 species